GGAGAUGUAGUUCAGUGGUAGAGCGCUUGCCUGGCAAGCACGAGGCCUUGGGUUCAGCCUCCAGCACAUCCC
rnacentral:tRNA from 1 species